UAGCAUUACAGUAGUUAAUGUAGUGCGUGUACAUGCUCUUCAUGUUCUUUGUCUCAUAAUAGCCGUGGUGUGUAAAGUGUUGCUCAAUGCUCCACUGCACAAGCAGCCACACACGCUGUGUCCAGCGCUUAUAGAGCAGUUACCGCUUCCUCAGGGCCAAUGUGUCUCUGUGAGUUAGGUAGUGCUCCAGAUUCUGACACAAACACAAAUGGCUCAGAGCUAUUUGACAGAACAGUCACUUCUAAAUUGCCACCCUAAAUAUUAUAAAACCAAAUACUGUAUCUUAAAUAGACAUUGAAGAGGACAUAUCCUACCCAGUAUUCAGGACAUUCAACACAGCUCACCCUGCCUGACACCACCUUGGACAACCAGGGAAGAAAGAAAAGUGCAGGCCUGAACACACACGGUCCAACUCACGGGCAUAAUUUCUAAAGUGGUCAAUUGUAAUUCAUGAGGAGCACAUGGAUAUUGUAAAAGUUAAACAAGGUAAGUUUGCAGUCUGGAUUUCAAUAAUCAUCCCAUUGAAUGUUAGAUAAAACCGGAAUUGGUUUGCAACAGGAGGAAAGAGCUGUAUGAGGACACAAUUUUCAGCCUGGCUUCACUGAAGAGAAUAGACAACAAUAGCUGAGUAAAAAAGAUUAUACUAUCUGUU